rnacentral:sRNA from 1 species
GAUGAUGACACGAAACAUUCUUAUCGUAGGAAGGCGCAUGGGCAAGGCGGCGUAGCCGUCUGGCGGAAGCCACUCAUGCGCAGAACACAGGCUCCUUCGGGGGCCUUUUUUAUUGGCCCGGU